CCUACGGGUGGCAGCAGUGGGGAAUAUUGGGCAAUGGGCGCAAGCCUGACCCAGCAACGCCGCGUGAAGGAAGAAGGCUUUCGGGUUGUAAACUUCCUUUAAGCGGGAAGCGCCGAAGACGGUACCUCUUGAAUAAGCCACGGCUAACUACGUGCCAGCAGCCGCGGUAAUACGUAGGUGGCAAGCGUUGUCCGGAUUUACUGGGUGUAAAGGGCGUGCAGCCGGGAAGACAAGUCAGAUGUGAAAUCCUGCGGCUCAACCGCGGAACUGCAUUUGAAACUGUUUUUCUUGAGUACCGGAGAGGUCAGCGGUAUGCGUGGUGUAGCGGUGAAAUGCAUAGAUAUAAGGAAGAACACCAGUGGCGAAGGCGGCAGACUGGCCGGCAACUGACGGUGAGGCGCGAAAGCGUGGGGAGCGAACAGGAUUAGAUACCCCAGUAGUC
rnacentral:rRNA from 1 species